rnacentral:tRNA from 1 species
GCCCUGGUGGCGCAAUGGUUAAGCGCUUGGCUGCUAACUGAGGUUGGUGGUUUGAACCCAUCCAGGGUU